AUUGAACGCUGGCGGCAGGCCUAACACAUGCAAGUCGAGCGAGCGGCGGACGGGUGAGUAAAGUAUGGGGACUGCCCGAUAGAGGGGGAAAACCAUCGGAAACGGUAGCUAAUACCGCAUACUAUCGGAUAACCCAUAUGGGAUUAGCUAGUAGGGGUGGUAAGGGCUCACCCAGGCGACGAUCCCUAGCUGGUCUGGGAGGAUGAUCAGCCACACUGGAACUGAGACACGGCCCCGACUCCUACGGUGGCAGCAGUGGGGAAUAUUGCGCAAUGGGCGCAAGCCGGAUGCAGCCAUGCCGCGUGUAUGAAUAAGGCCCGAGGGUUGUAAAGUACUUUCAGUCGGGAGGCGUUACCGACAGAAGAAGCACCGGCUAACUCCGUGCCAGCAGCCGCGGUAAUUC
rnacentral:rRNA from 1 species